rnacentral:rRNA from 1 species
GACGAACGCUGGCGGCGUGCCUAAUACAUGCAAGUAGAACGCUGAAGCGAGGAGCUUGCUCUUCUUGGAUGAGCUGCGAACGGGUGAGUAACGCGUAGGUAACCUGCCUUGUAGCGGGGGAUAACUAUUGGAAACGAUAGCUAAUACCGCAUAACAAUGGAUGACACAUGUCAUUUAUUUGAAAGGGGCAAUUGCUCCACUACAAGAUGGACCUGCGUUGUAUUAGCUAGUAGGUGAGGUAAUGGCUCACCUAGGCGACGAUACAUAGCCGACCUGAGAGGGUGAUCGGCCACACUGGGACUGAGACACGGCCCAGACUCCUACGGGAGGCAGCAGUAGGGAAUCUUCGGCAAUGGGGGCAACCCUGACCGAGCAACGCCGCGUGAGUGAAGAAGGUUUUCGGAUCGUAAAGCUCUGUUGUAAGUCAAGAACGGGUGUGAGAGUGGAAAGUUCACACUGUGACGGUAGCUUACCAGAAAGGGACGGCUAACUACGUG